CGGGGGGUAGCUUAGCUGGGAGAGAGUCGCGUUCGCAAUGCGAAGGUCGGGAGUUCGAUCCUCUUCCUCUCCA
rnacentral:tRNA from 1 species